AAUAAUGAAUCAUUUUUCCUUCUACCUUUCAAUCUCAUGUUACAACCGUACAACUGCAUUGAUACUACAGGCAGUAGAAAUUGCACUGCUAUUACACAAACAAUCAGGAAAUUCUGGGCAGUAAACUCCUACACCAGGAAGCAACCAAUCCAAAACCGAUACGACCUGCUUCCGUUGCCAUACUCAAUUCUCCACAGAUCAGAAACAAGCUAUAGGAUUCAAACAGGUAGAAAAGCUUGGUCUAAACUGAAGGAGUAGGUUUCAUCCCUCUUUCUCUGUUAUCAAUGUGUUGACAAUAGGUUUCAUCCCUCUUUGAAGCAUUUCAUCAGACAACUUCUCUGCUUGAUUGAGUUAACCACAAAAUUUCAAACAACUAAACAUAAAUGUUGUAUUAAGAGCCAUUGCAAAUGCAUCUAUCACAAUCUUUGUGCCCAUUUCUCUGAUUGCGUCACUUACAGACUCAUGGCUAUUGACAAGUGACAACUACAUCCAUGGAAGCAACAAUCAUGGCUUGUUUCACAGUUGUUACAGAGCAGGACAUCUCUAACCCCGGACACGG
rnacentral:lncRNA from 1 species